GACGAACGCUGGCGGCGUGCUUAACACAUGCAAGUCGAACGGAAAGGCCCUGCUUUUGUGGGGUGCUCGAGUGGCGAACGGGUGAGUAACACGUGAGUAACCUGCCCUUGACUUUGGGAUAACUUCAGGAAACUGGGGCUAAUACCGGAUAGGAGCUCCUGCUGCAUGGUGGGGGUUGGAAAGUUUCGGCGGUUGGGGAUGGACUAGCGGCUUAUCAGCUUGUUGGUGGGGUAGUGGCUUACCAAGGCUUCGACGGGUAGCCGGCCUGAGAGGGGGACCGGCCACAAUGGGACUGAGAGACGGCCCAGACGCCUACGGGACGCAGCGGGGGGGAAUAUGGCGGAAUGGGCGGAAGCCUGAUGCAGCAACGCCGCGUGCGUGAUGACGGCCUUCGGGUUGUAAACCGCUUUCGCCGGUGACGAAGCGAGAGUGACGGUAAUGGGUAAAGAAGCACCGGCUAACUACGUG
rnacentral:rRNA from 1 species